rnacentral:lncRNA from 1 species
AGAGGAGAGGAGACGAGACGAGACGAAGGAAGGACGAGGUCGCCGGCUGGUGGUGUCGGCAGUGGAGCAACGCUCCCUCCUCCCGCAUGUAGCGGCACAAACGAGUGAUUAUUUUUCAGGUAGGCUAUUUAUCCAUCGUUUUAGAAAUUUUUAAUAUACUAAUCAUUUUUUAUUUAUUAUAUUGCUUGAAGAUGUGUAUCGGUUGUCCAUGUAUUUGGUUUCCUUGAUUAU